rnacentral:rRNA from 1 species
UACGGAGGGUGCAAGCGUUGUCCGGAUUUAUUGGGUUUAAAGGGUGCGUAGGCGGUUAAUUAAGUCAGUGGUGAAAUCCUGGAGCUCAACUCCAGAACUGCCAUUGAUACUGGUUGACUUGAGUACAGACGAGGUUGGCGGAAUUGAUGGUGUAGCGGUGAAAUGCAUAGAUACCAUCAAGAACACCGAUUGCGAAGGCAGCUAACUAGGCUGUAACUGACGCUGAGGCACGAAAGUGUGGAGAUCAAACAGG